ACUCCCAAACCCCUGUGAACAUACCUUACUGUUGCCUCGGCGGAUCAGCCCGCUCCCGGUAAAACGGGACGGCCCGCCAGAGGACCCCUAAACUCUGUUUCUAUAUGUAACUUCUGAGUAAAACCAUAAAUAAAUCAAAACUUUCAACAACGGAUCUCUUGGUUCUGGCAUCGAUGAAGAACGCAGCAAAAUGCGAUAAGUAAUGUGAAUUGCAGAAUUCAGUGAAUCAUCGAAUCUUUGAACGCACAUUGCGCCCGCCAGUAUUCUGGCGGGCAUGCCUGUUCGAGCGUCAUUUCAACCCUCAAGCCCUCGGGUUUGGUGUUGGGGAUCGGCGAGCCUUUCUGGCAAGCCGGCCCCGAAAUCUAGUGGCGGUCUCGCUGCAGCCUCCAUUGCGUAGUAGUAAAACCCUCGCAACUGGAACGCGGCGCGGCCAAGCCGUUAAACCCCCAACUUCUGAAUGUUGACCUCGGAUCAGGUAGGAAUACCCGCUGAACUUAAGCAUAUCAAUAAGCGGAGGAA
rnacentral:rRNA from 1 species